rnacentral:rRNA from 1 species
UAGCGUUGUUCGGAAUUACUGGGCGUAAAGUGCACGUAGGCGGCUUUGCAAGUUAGAGGUGAAAGCCCGGGGCUCAACUCCGGAAUUGCCUUUAAAACUGCAUCGCUAGAAUUGUGGAGAGGUAAGUGGAAUUCCGAGUGUAGAGGUGAAAUUCGUAGAUAUUCGGAAGAACACCAGUGGCGAAGGCGGGUCUCUGGGCCGUAACUGACGCUGAGGAGCGAAAGCGUGGGGAGCAAACAGG